GGGGCAAUAGCAAAGUUGGUCAAUGCGUUGGACUGAAAAUCCAAAGAUAAUGGUUCGAUUCCAUUUUGUCCCA
rnacentral:tRNA from 1 species